rnacentral:rRNA from 1 species
CCCGGGCUCAACCUGGGAACUGCAUUCGAAACUGGCAGGCUUGAGUCUUGUAGAGGGGGGUAGAAUUCCAGGUGUAGCGGUGAAAUGCGUAGAGAUCUGGAGGAAUACCGGUGGCGAAGGCGGCCCCCUGGACAAAGACUGACGCUCAGGUGCGAAAGCGUGGGGAGCAAACAGGAUUAGAUACCCUGGUAGUCCACGCCGUAAACGAUGUCUACUUGGAGGUUGUGCCCUUGAGGCGUGGCUUCCGGAGCUAACGCGUUAAGUAGACCGCCUGGGGAGUACGGCCGCAAGGUUAAAACUCAAAUGAAUUGACGGGGGCCCGCACAAGCGGUGGAGCAUGUGGUUUAAUUCGAUGCAACGCGAAGAACCUUACCUGGUCUUGACAUCCACGGAAGUUUUCAGAGAUGAGAAUGUGCCUUCGGGAACCGUGAGACAGGUGCUGCAUGGCUGUCGUCAGCUCGUGUUGUGAAAUGUUGGGUUAAGUCCCGCAACGAGCGCAACCCUUAUCCUUUGUUGCCAGCGGUUAGGCCGGGAACUCAAAGGAGACUGCCAGUGAUAAACUGGAGGAAGGUGGGGAUGACGUCAAGUCAUCAUGGCCCUUACGACCAGGGCUACACACGUGCUACAAUGGCGCAUACAAAGAGAAGCGACCUCGCGAGAGCAAGCGGACCUCAUAAAGUGCGUCGUAGUCCGGAUUGGAGUCUGCAACUCGACUCCAUGAAGUCGGAAUCGCUAGUAAUCGUGGAUCAGAAUGCCACGGUGAAUACGUUCCCGGGCCUUGUACACACCGCCCGUCACACCAUGGGAGUGGGUUGCAAAAGAAGUAGGUAGCUUAACCUUCGGGAGGGCGCUUACCACUUUGUGAUUCAUGACUGGGGUGAAGUCGUAACAAGGUAACCGUAGGGGAACCUGCGGUUGGAUCACCUCCUUACCUUAAAGAAGC